rnacentral:rRNA from 1 species
GACGAACGCUGGCGGCGUGCUUAACACAUGCAAGUCGAACGGUGAAGCGCCUUCCUUUUUGGUGGGUGUGGAUGAGUGGCGAACGGGUGAGUAACACGUGAGUAACCUGCCCCCUUCUUCUGGAUAACCGCAUGAAAGUGUGGCUAAUACGGGAUAUUCUGGGUCUGUCGCAUGAUGGGUCUGGGAAAGAUAUUGUUUCGGUGGGGGAUGGGCUCGCGGCCUAUCAGCUUGUUGGUGGGGUGGUGGCCUACCAAGGCGGUGACGGGUAGCCGGCCUGAGAGGGUGGACGGCCACACUGGGACUGGGACACGGCCCAGACUCCUAAGGGAGGCAGCAGCGGGGAAUAUUGGACGAUGGGAGCAAGGCUGAUGCAGCGGCGCCGCGGGAGGGAUGGAGGCCUUCGGGUUGUGAACCUCUUUCGCCAGUGAAGCAGGCCUGCCUCGUUUGUGGGUGGGUUGACGGUAGCUGGAUAAGAAGCGCCGGCUAACUACGUG